UAUCUCUGUAGAGUCUGCAUAUCAAUAAGCGGAGGAAAAGAAACUAACUAGGAUUCCCUCAGUAACGGCGAGUGAAGCGGGAAGAGCUCAAAUUUGAAAUCUUCAAGGUUUUACCUUGACGAAUUGUAGUUUAAAGAAGUGUUUUCCGUUGGUGUUUUGGUAAAAGUUCUUUGGAAUAGGACAUCAUAGAGGGUGAGAAUCCCGUAUUUGACCAUUAUUUCCAGCUUUGUGAUACACUUUCAAAGAGUCGGAUUGUUUGGGAAUGCAGUCCAAAAUGGGUGGUAAAUUUCAUCUAAAGCUAAAUAUUGGCGAGAGACCGAUAGCGAACAAGUACCGUGAGGGAAAGAUGAAAAGAACUUUGAAAAGAGAGUUAAACAGUACGUGAAAUUGUCAAAAGGGAAGCGUUUGACACCAGUGUUGUUUCUACGAAAAUCAAUUUAUGAUGGCUUGAUGCUAAGCUUUAAGACUUUAUCCGCCUGUUGUUUAGUUUUCUUGUCUUUGUGAAUGCACUUUUCGUGGAACAAGUCAACAUCAAUUUCUUUUGCUGUAAAAGGGUAAGAGGAAGGUGGCUUCGGCUUCGGUUGAAGUGUUUAUAGCCUUUUAUCUCUGCAGUCGGAGAGAUUGAGGUCUGCAGCGUAGACUCUUCGGGGUUAGAUACGUCGGUGCUAAGCUAUAGCUUUUCAUAGACAACUUGUUGACUAUGUUUAGUCAUGUGGCUUACCCGCUGGCGCUAUUUUACCUACGCUUAGGAUGUUGAGUCAUCACACAUCUCU
rnacentral:rRNA from 1 species